AUUGAACGCUGGCGGCAGGCCUAACACAUGCAAGUCGAACGAGUGGCGGACGGGUGAGUAAUGUCUGGGAAACUGCCUGAUGGAGGGGGAUAACUACUGGAAACGGUAGAUAAUACCGCAUACCAUCGGAUGUGCCCAGAUGGGAUGAGCUAGUAGGUGGGGUAACGGCUCACCUAGGCGACGAUCCCUAGCUGGUCUGAGAGGAGGACCAGCCACACUGGAACUGAGACACGGUCCAGACUCCGACGGGAGGCAGCAGUGGGGAAUAUGGCACAAUGGGCGCAAGCCGGAUGCAGCCAUGCCGCGUGUGUGAAGAAGGCCUUCGGGUUGUAAAGCACUUUCAGCGGGGAGGCGUUACCCGCAGAAGAAGCACCGGCUAACUCCGUGCCAGCAGCCGCGGUAAUUC
rnacentral:rRNA from 1 species